UCUGGAUCAAUGCUGUCUCCAGCCACCAAUCCUGUGGACAAUUAGUAGAUAUGAACUGCAAACACAUUUAUAACCACAUUUUACAGAAAUACAAAUUACUAAAGUAAUGUAAAUAGCCUUUGUGGUUUGAGAUUUUAAAUCAUCAUAAAUAUUUAUGAACAGAGUUUCAUUAAUUAAUCAAUAAUGUACCUGUUCCCACAAUGAGUAUCAGUAUAAAGCAUCUGUCCAUGUUCAGUCAGAUCAGUUCAGUUCUCUGUUGAGUCUCUCAGUGCUCUGAGCUGUAAGUCACUGCAGAUCUGUCAGAAACACACACAGGAACUUCCUGCUCUCUGAACUUCCUACUGUUGAUGACUGUCAUUUAUCUGUGUUAGAUAACUAUAUUAUUGUAUUAGACAAUAAGAGUAUGUUAUAUUUAAAAAGAUUUGCACUAGCUUUUGCCUCAAAAGCACAAGAAGCAUGAUAUUUAAAUAAUUUUGAUGCAGUUUAGCUUCCUCUCUGUGCACAAAACUUUACAGUGGUGAUGAUGGCACAUACCUUUAAUUAAAGUAUUUUAAUGUAUUUAUAAUUUUAAUUAAUUAAUUUAAGGCUAUAGUCUCUUAAAAUAUUUGAUGCAUAUGUUUUCCCUUUAUUAUAAGCAUGGAAAUAUUAUGUAAUAAAAUCUGAAUAAUAUGUCAUUUUUCUUUGUAGAGUUACAUUUAUUUAUUUUAUGAUUAAGUUUACAUUUUCAGUAUAAUUUUCACAAUAUAAAUGUAUAACAAUGUUAAAAGCUAAUGUUGUAGUACGAUGUUUUCUCUUUAUAGGAUUUGAAACAGCAGUAACUCCAUGUGUAUGAAAUUACAUUUGGUUCAAUAAAAAUGAACGUAACUUUAUAAAACUGAACGUAACAUUUUCAGAAACUAUCAAAAAUAUGCCAUCACGAAAAGAAAAACACGAUUCAAAUAGGCUUCAUUCUUUGUUAAGGUAAGAUUUGUUUUCACUAAUCAUGCAAUCCAUUGCCACAGAUUUCGAAGUGCCUUUUAAAUUUGUUUUCAUCGUGUAUUUCUUCUUUUGUAAUGGCAUGUUUUUGAUAGUUUCUGAAAAAGUUAGUUUUUUGAAGCAAAUGUAAUUCCAUACAUGUGAAAGUAUGUGAGCACUGCUCUCCUGUGGCAUACAUGAACCUGCACUAUUUAAUGCACAUGAGAAUCAUUUGAGAUGAUUUAUUGAUUAACAGCUUUCUGAAUUACAGGUAUUUAAGAACAGCUUCAGAUUUUAUGUAUCUGUAAUUUAAUGUAACGAAUACUUUUCACAUUGCACACAAAUUUAAUUCAUCUCUGUCUCUGUGUUUCUUUCUUGUCUCGUGUAACAGGUUUUUGUAGAGAGCUGAUGUGUUUCCUGUCACUGUGGGCUGCAGAGCACAGUAAUACAGAGCAGAGUCUGAUACAGCAGCAGAGGAGAUCUUCAGAUCCACACGUUCACUUUUUGGAAUAUUAACAGAGAAUCUCGGAUCUACAUCAGACUGCCGAGCAUCUUUUACAGUGUCAUACGUUUUUGUACAGUGUUCUUGUGUUUCCUGUCACUGUGGGCGCCAGAGCACAGUAGUACAGAGCAGAGUCUGAUACAGCAGCAGAGGAGAUCUUCAGAUCCACACGUUCACUUUGUGGAAUAUUAACAGAGAACCUAGGAUCUACAUCAGACUGCCGAGCAUCUUUUUUAUUGCUGUAGAUGCACCUUUAAUAAUAUUGUCUAUUACUGAGCUGGUGAUUUUCUGGACUGAAAGAAAUGACUGCUGGACAGCUUGACCGCCCAUCACUGGAAAGACUUCACACAGCCUUGAAAAAAAAAAAAAAAAAAAAAAAAAACUAAAUGAUAUUGAAAUCAUUACAUUAAAUCACAAAAUCAAUAUAAUAAUGAUUAUUAUAAUGUAAUAUAACAAAAUGUAUACUACUAUAUUAUCAAAUGUAAUAUUGAACAACUACUGCCCUCUUCUGGUUCACUGCAAGUACUACUUAUUGCAAAUAAAAAAAAAAUUCUGACAGGAUAUUCUAAAGUGAGUGAUAAUGGCUCUAUAGGGACUUGAUGUAAUUAAUCUUUUAUGCUGCCAGAAAAAUUUACAUUCACAUUUUUGUUUUAUGUUUUGAUUGUUUAUGCAUUAGAUUGAUUACAUUUGCAUAUUGGCGAUCUUUCACUAUCUUUG